UGGUGUCGUUUGUGAACAAUUUUCUUCAAAAUCAUUUAGUCCAAAAGAAGUUGUAAAUAGGAUAAAAUUGUUAAUAGAAAAUAAUGAGUCCGAGGUGGAUUGUGUAUCUUGUUUGUAUAUUUUACUUUUUUUUUACUGUUUUGUACUUUUCUAGGAAAUCAAAGGCAGUUAGUAACCUGCCUUUUAGAGUAUUAGAUAACAUUGAUAGUUUGUAUCAAUAUGAUUGGACAAAAGUUGUGCAUACAUUUGUGAUUAAUAGUUUAACAAAGGGGUUAAUGAUGAUAAGGGAGCGUGAGAUAAAGGACUCUGUAGGGCUUAGUGGCAAUGCUGCAGUAUUGCAGUAGCUUUGGGUCGUUGAACGUUUGGAUUUAGUGGAUGGUGAACAUGAAAUUGUGUUCCCCAGAAUAAUAAAUUGACCUUCGCUCAAGUUGAGGUCAAAGAAAAUAGAAGAGUUGUUUCAGAAAAAGGAUAUAUGUUGGGAGUGGUUCGUGCGCGAGGAAGACCGUGGGAACCCAUUGAUUCGUGUAGCCCUUCAUUUGGAUGAAGGGGCAAUACCACAACAUGGUGCAGAUGAGAUUGGGAUGAGUUGGGAAGAACUACUGAUGAAGAGAAUAGAAGACAACCAAAAGAGAAUGGUUGAAAUGAAUAAGAAGUUAAGAGAUUUGGCUGCAAUGGUUGGUGAUGGAAGGCAAGAAAGACAACAACCUUCAUUUUUUGUUGUUGAUGUUCAUUGUGAACCAGAUGAUGGUGAUGUUCAUGGUGAACGAGAUGCCGCUGAUGUUCAUGGUGAAGGAGCGGCACGUAUGCAGUUCCAGUCAACAGCGACACUUCAGCAACCUUCAAACUCCGCCAACGCCGACGAGCCUUGUGAGGAGAUCGAAGCUUGUCAGUGGGUGGGAGGGAGGACGGUUCUCUAGAAUGCUCUGAUGCAAAUGACCUUCUCUUUUUUGAAAUGAAUCCAAAUUAAUCUCGCGUUUCAAAACCCCUCCAGCCCUUCAUUUUUCACCUCAUUUUCAAUUUUUUUAAACAUUGAACACAUGGACCAAUUGGCUUACGACACAUGUCCGGUGUCAAAAGUUUGUCAAAUUUGAGUGUCAAAGUAUCAUUAUCCUAUAUUCAAAUAUCUAUUCUUGUAUUUCAACUCACCUAGCUCAAUAUCAUUAUAUCUACAAUGCUUACUUUUUCAAUUAAAUCACAAAU